AUGCCCUCGAAGAAACUCCUGAUCCCAAAAUUAUUAUUUGUACUGGCUGCGGUGGUUCAUCUAUCACGUUCAGAGCUGAACAAUGAAAUUGAAUCGCCUACCACCAAACAGACCUCUUCAAAUGGAGAGUGCUUUCCGUGGUCGCCCCCUGAAGACAGUGGUGGCUCUUCCAAAUCCUGACAAACGCGAGCUGUGGAAAGACAUUCUUAUGCAGAUCCCACUUGAAAGAAAAUACCAGCUAACGCAGCACAAGAAAGAAAAACAA